AAGACUCAGUCCUAAUUAAAAGCAUAUAUCUGCAUUGCGUGCCAAUGUUUCUGGCAGUCAAGGAUGUGGGGCAAAGCUACGUGGAUGUGGGCUGUGUUCCUUGGUGCAAGAAGGCAACUCACGUUUCCUAAAUCAAUAAUAUUGCAAGCGACUGUUUAAUUGGUCCGGACAGUAGGAACCGGUUGAGUCAUCGAGUUGCAAGGAGCCCAAGAGCCUUAUCUGGAGCCGUGCUGAGGAAAUUCACAAACAGUCUGACGUUUAUGAUUGCUGCAAACAAAAGCUACGAUGACUGCACUUGAAAUUGAUAAUUACGAUGCAAAAUAUUUGCCUAUUGUCCCUGCACACAACAUACUUACACACAUUUGUGCACUUAAUAAUGUUGUACAGGGAAGUCUAUUGCUUUGGGCUUAUUGAUUGCCUAUUGCUCAUUAAAUGUGGAUAACUGGCAAAGAUAGGAGGAACUGCUAAUUGCUGCAUCCUGGUUCGAAAUUAUAACGCAAACCGUAUCUAUUUUUGGAAAAUUCAAAGAUUUUUGAGAAUAUUGAAUCAUUAAAUAUUAAAUUCAAUUAAUUCGUGUAGGUAUUUGAAGUGAAAGGCUUAACAUUCCUCAAAAUUUCAUCCGUAUUUAU
rnacentral:sRNA from 1 species